rnacentral:rRNA from 1 species
AUUGAACGCUGGCGGAAUGCUUUACACAUGCAAGUCGAACGGCAGCACGGACUUCGGUCUGGUGGCGAGUGGCGAACGGGUGAGUAAUGUAUCGGAACGUGCCCAGUCGUGGGGGAUAACGUGGUGAAAAUUACGCUAAUACCGCAUACGAUCUAUGAAUGAAAGCGGGGGAUCGCAAGACCUCGCGCGAUCGGAGCGGCCGAUAUCAGAUUAGGUAGUUGGUGGGGUAAAGGCCCACCAAGCCAACGAUCUGUAGCUGGUCUGAGAGGACGACCAGCCACACUGGAACUGAGACACGGUCCAGACUCCUACGGGAGGCAGCAGUGGGGAAUUUUGGACAAUGGGCGAAAGCCUGAUCCAGCCAUUCCGCGUGCAGGAUGAAGGCCCUCGGGUUGUAAACUGCUUUUGUACAGAACGAAAAGGUUUCUACUAAUACUAGGAGCUCAUGACGGUACUGUAAGAAUAAGCACCGGCUAACUACGUGCCAGCCGCCGCAGUAA